rnacentral:rRNA from 1 species
UACGUAGGGGGCAAGCGUUGUCCGGAAUUACUGGGCGUAAAGAGCUCGUAGGUGGUUUGUCGCGUUGUCCGUGAAAACUCACAGCUUAACUGUGGGCGUGCGGGCGAUACGGGCAGACUUGAGUACUGCAGGGGAGACUGGAAUUCCUGGUGUAGCGGUGGAAUGCGCAGAUAUCAGGAGGAACACCGGUGGCGAAGGCGGGUCUCUGGGCAGUAACUGACGCUGAGGAGCGAAAGCGUGGGGAGCGAACAGG